rnacentral:rRNA from 1 species
UUGGAGGGCAAGUCUGGUGCCAGCAGCCGCGGUAAUUCCAGCUCCAAUAGCGUAUAUUAAAGUUGUUGCAGUUAAAAAGCUCAUAGUUGAAUUUCGGGAUCAAUAUGUUGGUCGUGCCAUGGGUACGUACUGGCAUUAUUGGUUUCUACCUUCUGAAGAACCUCGAUGUCAUUAAUUUGGUGUCUUGGGGAAUCAGGACUGUUACUUUGAAAAAAUUAGAGUGUUUAAAGCAAGCUCGCGCUUGAAUACAUUAGCAUGGAAUAA